AUGAAGACCAGAACAAAAGAUUUAACAUUUUACGAAAUUUCUUUAAUUUAAAGUUCAAACUUUUUCCAAGUGUAAAAAAACACUUAUAUAUUAGAAAGACGAUAAGACCUUAUUGAACUUAACUAAAGUUAAACUGGGGUAGUAUAUUAAUUAACAUUUUAAUUAUAUUAUAAUUAAAAUAAUCCGAUACAAUUGAAUAAUCAAGUUACCAUAGGGAUAACAGCGUAAUUAUAUUCAAGAGCCCUUAUCUAAAAAAUAGAUUACAACCUCGAUGUUGAAUUAAUCAUCUCUUUUAAGUAAAAUUUUAAAAAGGAAGUCUGUUCGACUUUUAAAAAAUUACAUGAUUUGAGUUCAAACCGGUACAAGCCAGGUUGGUUUCAAUCUUCUAAAAACUUUUUACAGUACGAAAGGACCCAUUAAUAUUAUUUAAUAUAUAUAUAUAUGGCAGAAUAAUGCAUUAGAAUUAGAAUCUAAAUAUGCUCAAA
rnacentral:rRNA from 1 species